AACGAACGCUGGCGGCAUGCCUAACACAUGCAAGUCGAACGAGACCUUCGGGUCUAGUGGCGCACGGGUGCGUAACGCGUGGGAACCUUCCCUUAGGUUCGGAAUAACUCCCCGAAAGGGGUGCUAAUACCGGAUAAUUUCUUCGGACCAAAGAUUUAUCGCCUUUGGUUGGGCCCGCGUUGGAUUAGCUUGUUGGUAGGGUAAAAGCCUACCAAGGCGACAAUCCAUAGCUGGUUUGAGAGAAUGAUCAGCCACACUGGGACUGAGAAACGGCCCAGAAUACUACGGGAGGCAGCAGAGGGGAAUAUAGGAAAAUGGGCGAAAGCAUGAACCAGCAAUGCCGGGUGAGUGAUGAAGGCAUUAGGGUAGUAAAGCUGUUUUAAACGGGAUGAUAAUGACAGUACCGGGAGAAUAAGCUCCGGCUAACUCCGUG
rnacentral:rRNA from 1 species